CGAAAUUCAUACUUGCACUAAUGCACUAGAUCUUAUCAAAACUCCAAAGCAAAGUAUGAUUUAGUUAGAGUGGUACUGGGAUAAGUGAUCCUCUGAAAAGUCCUCGUGUUGUAUCCC
rfam:Nicotiana sylvestris Nsyl_contig12521, whole genome shotgun sequence.